UAAUAAAAUUAUUUGGUUUAUAUCAAAUCGCUGAAAACAGUCCAGAGAAGCUAUAGGUAUACAUUAUAUUUAACUCCACUUAUAGAUAACAUGGUUAUCUGAACAGCUAUUAAUUUCACAUAAAAAUAUCGAUGUUUUGACACUUCUAACAAUAAUUACCUAGGGACAGGGUCUAACAUUUUAUUAUUUAUUUAAUACUUUCCUCGUUUGUGGAAAAAGGCAAUCGAUUUGCCUAUACCCAAAAAAAAAAAAUAAUUCAGAAUCGUUCUCUGAUCUUAGAAUAAUUAGUAUACUACCUGCGUUUUCCAAAAUUUUUGAAAGAUUGUUAUAUAAUCACAUUUAUGACUAUUUUGUAAAUAAUAGUCUCUUACCUCAAUCGCAAUGUGGCUUCAGGAAAGGGUAUAGUACUUUAACUGCUCUAAUUACCGUCACUGAUGAUUUAAUAAAAGCACAGGACAGGGGACUAGUUAGUGCUUUAGUUACUGGACUCAACAAGGUAUGUCAGUUAUCUGGUCAAGUAAAUAAUCAAAAUUAUAGACCUUGUCCUAUAAGAAAUCCUCAUAAGUUUAUUGAAACAUCCUUACAUCCUCAGAAGAUAGUAGGCCCAAUUUUUUCCCGAGAACUAAUAAAUGAAAACGAUAGCAAGCUCUGUAAUCACUGCAUAAUAGUAAUGAUGGACUGCAAUGUGGAUUUUUUCAUCACGAUGGAGCCACAGUACAUACUACAUCAGAAAAUGUAAGAUAUAUGCAGGAAUUUUGUGCGGUGAUAUAUUGAUACGAGGGUAUUGUGGUCCGCACGAAGUCCUGAUCUCACCCCGUUAGAUUUUUAUGUGUUUGGUGGUAUCAACAAUAAUAUAUUUCGAACAUCUGUAAUAAAUUUUAGUUAGCAGAAUAAAAACAUUAUUUGUG